rnacentral:lncRNA from 1 species
CAGAUGGCCGUCUCAAAUGUCACACUCUGUGGGAUUUGUGAUUCUCAACACGUUUCAAACAAUGCCAACUACUGGUGUCCUGAAUGUGAAGAAGGUCUUUGCACGACAUGUAAAAAUUACCACAGCGUAUCAAAAGCUUCAAGACAGCAUGGGAUCAUUUCAAUCGAAGACUACAAGAAACUUCCGGAUAAGAUUUGUAAAGUUGAACAGAAUUGUAGAGAACAUGAUAGAAAAUUUCAAAUGUUUUGCCCACGUCAUGACCAACUUUGUUGUUUUAUUUGCAUAUCCGAAAACCACAAAGAAUGCACCGGAAUGUAUCCUAUUGACGAAGCCAUCAAGUCUGCGAGAACUUCCACUUUAUUUGACAGUUUGGAGAUGUCACUAAAAGACAUUCAGGAAAACAUUGAAAGAGUAGUAAAGGACCGGGAAGCCAAUCUUGUUGAAAUAAAGCAACAGCACCUAAAAAGCUUGAAUGAUAUAAAAGACACAAGACAACAAAUAAACUCCCGUUUAGAUGAAUUAGAGAAAAACAUGAUAGACAAAUUGAAUUCAACUGAAACACAACUAAAACUAAAAAUUGAAACCCUUCUUAAUAAGCUAUCCGAAAAAAAGAACGAGAUUGAAAUUUUGAAGACAAAUCUAAUGUCCGUCAAACAACAUGGAUCCGAUCUGCAGGCUUUCAUUGGCAGUAAAAUGUUAGAAAAGGACUUCACUGAGGAGAUAAAAUACGUACACAACAUAUCGG